AAUAAGGUAGGACUCCCGCUGAACUUAGCAUAUCAAUAAGCG
rnacentral:rRNA from 1 species